GACGAACGCUGGCGGCGUGCUUAACACAUGCAAGUCGAACGGAAAGGCCCUGCUUGCUGGGUGCUCGAGUGGCGAACGGGUGAGUAACACGUGGGUGAUCUGCCCCUUACUUUGGGAUAAGCCUGGGAAACUGGGUCUAAUACUGGAUAGGACCAUGCUGUAGGUGGUGUGGUGGAAAGAUUUUUUCGGUAAGGGAUGAGCUCGCGGCCUAUCAGCUUGUUGGUGGGGUAAUGGCCUACCAAGGCGUCGACGGGGAGCCGGCCUGAGAGGGUGGACGGCCACAGGGGGACUGCGAUACGGCCCAGACGCCGACGGGAAGCAGCAGGGGGGGAUGUAGCACUAUGGGCGCAAGCCUGAGGCAGCGACGCCGCGUGGGGGAUGGCGGCCUUCGGGUUGUAAACUCCUUUCAGCCAUGACGAAGCCGCUGUUGGGGUGACGGUAGUGGUAGAAGAAGCACCGGCUAACUACGUG
rnacentral:rRNA from 1 species